rfam:Cronobacter sakazakii ATCC BAA-894, complete genome.
GGGUGCUUAAGGCUUUCUGUCUUAAGCAAACGUGAGGGACAGAAAGAAGAAAGCCCCGGGCAAUAUUUCUAUUAACCCGAGGCUAUCCCUCAACUCCAGCAAGUUGAGAUUAGCCUCUUACUCUUCAGAAUGCAAGGAGUAAAAGGCAUGAAG